rnacentral:rRNA from 1 species
UACAGAGGGUGCAAGCGUUAAUCGGAAUUACUGGGCGUAAAGCGUGCGUAGACGGUUAUUUAAGUCAGGUGUGAAAGCCCCGGGCUCAACCUGGGAAUUGCAUUUGAGACUGAAUAGCUAGGGUGCGGAAGAGGGAAGCGGAAUUUCCGGUGUAGCGGUGAAAUGCGUAGAUAUCGGAAGGAACACCAGUGGCGAAAGCGGCUUCCUGGUCCAGCACCGACGUUCAGGCACGAAAGCGUGAGGAGCAAACAGG